UCUUAUUCUAAUCCAUAUCUCACAGCAAGAAAUGACGGUAGGAGGAAGGCUUAUCCAGCAGUUUGGCUUCAUGAAGAUUUGCAGCCUCUGAAGCAUUUUGCAGUUACAGGUGUGUCUGCUGGGAGGAAUUUCCCAUCUCCUUUCCUGGUUGCUGCACACAAGCCCAGCUCCCAUCACAGGAGUCCUCCUAGAGGGAGGAACAAACCUACAGAACAUAGUAAGUCCUUGGAGAAAUCCAAACACAUGGACAAGAUGCUGAAUGAUCUGGAGAGACGCCAUGGUGGGUCCAUGUCCUUCAGCCUACAUCUGAGACUCAGCAGCCGGGGGCUUUCUCUGCACCUCUGGAUAAGCCGUGCCCGGCACAGCAGGAAGGGA